rnacentral:rRNA from 1 species
ACUCCUACGGGAGGCAGCAGUGGGGAAUAUUGGACAAUGGGGGCAACCCUGAUCCAGCAAUACCGCGUGUGUGAAGAAGGCCUUCGGGUUGUAAAGCACUUUCAGUUGGGAGGAAGGCUGAUUAUCGAAUAGGUAGUCAGAUUGACGUUACCAACAGAAGAAGCACCGGCUAACUCUGUGCCAGCAGCCGCGGUAAUACAGAGGGUGCAAGCGUUAAUCGGAAUUACUGGGCGUAAAGCGUGCGCAGGCGGUCUGUUAAGCGAGAUGUGAAAGCCCCGGGCUCAACCUGGGAACUGCAUUUCGAACUGGCAGACUAGAGUCUUGUAGAGGGGGGUAGAAUUCCAGGUGGUAGCGGUGAAAUGCGUAGAGAUCUGGAGGAAUACCGGUGGCGAAGGCGGCCCCCUGGCACAAAGACUGACGCUCAGGCACGAAAGCGUGGGGAGCAAACAGGAUUAGAUACCCUGGUAGGCUCU